rnacentral:lncRNA from 1 species
AGCAGACGAGCUUGACAGUGGCUCAGAUCAACUAAACUCAGGAAGUGAAUGAAAGACACAAUCAGAACCCAGAUUGAAUGGACUCGACCAUCAGGACCCGUCUCUACUUUGAACAUGUUUUAAUCCCACAGACCUUCAGGGAGAAGAAGGUCGUGUGACACAUGAGAGAAGGAACAUUUCUCAUUUGAUAUUAAUCUUCUCGUUAGUUUGGACUGAGGUCAGCAGCAGGUCAUGAGUCUGUGUUGACAUGAACAGGUGUAGGAAUGUUGUGUUGACAUGAUGAAGAUCCACAAGACUCAUUGAUCAGGAUUAUCAAUGAUGUGAUUCUUUGUUUUAUUCUUCAUCCAGGUUGAAGAGCUGCAGGUUGUCAGAGAUCAGCUGUUCUUCUCUGGCCUCAGCUCUGAGUCCACAACCUCCCACCUGAGACGACUGGAGCUGAGAGACAACACGCUGCAGGAUUCAGGAGUGAAGGAGCUGCGUGAUCUUGUCCAGACAGUCGUGUGUUGAGUCUGGAUCCAGUGAGAUUCGUGCUAACUUCCGAGAGGGAGAAGAUGGACGUGCCGAGGAGGAGAGCAGGGGAGUGUGCAGGGAGACAGAUGGAGAUGUACCAGUUAGCCUUGAAAAAUGUCUGCUUCAAUGUGACAGAUGAAUUGUUAUGUGUUUUAAUUUCAAAUGAGCAGCAUGACGUACAGCUGCUGUCUUCCAUGGUAGGACAACAGCGGUGGAGGUUUUUCAAACCCUGGCCGCUGCACCCAGACUUCCAUCGGCUGUGAGGAUGUAUCCCCUUGCUGGCAGCAAAGUGACAGUUCUGAAGAAGGCCUUCCUGCGACUGAACCGAUCUCACAUGGCAAUUUUUGCCCUGUGUGUGUGUGUGUGUGUGUGUGUGUGUGUGUGUGUGUGUGUGUGUAGAGGAUGGGGGGGUUUGCUAUAUUUUAAAGGGAGAGUUCGGUUUUUUAUGUAUGUUUAUUAAUACAUAACCCCUUUCAGGUAUUGAUUUCAUUAAUAAUUGUUUUCUCUUCAAGUGUGAUGGUGUUUAUGUAAUUUUGAAUAGCUUUGAAAACAAUGCAGUCCACAUGAGGAAAUAUAGCCUUUAGUACACUGGCAAUAUGUUUUUUGUGUAAUGUAGUAUAGCAAAAUAAUAAAAAGUUUAUUCAUAAAUAACUACAAAGGGUACUUUUUAUUAAUUAGAAUAAGCUAAAAAUAUAAGUGAUGUACAAUAUUACUACAAUAAUAAUAUAUUAAUGGUAUAUUGUUUGUACAUUAAAA